rnacentral:lncRNA from 10 species
GGACAACUGUGAUUAGAGACUGUAAAAGGUUGGGGAGUGAAUGUACCGGAGCUGAGUCUGUUCACUGAGUUUGGGAAGAUUCUCUGCACUCUGGGGGAACAGAGGAAGCAGCUGCAAGGAGAGAAGGGAGCGGCAGAUGGUAGAGUCUUGGAGUUGAUUCUGAGGUGCGGGUGGGGGUCAAGCUUCUCCCUUUGAGGGGAGAAAAGGCAGGGUGCACAGGACCAAAUACUACGGCUGUGAGAGGAAGCCUCCCCUCAGCUCAAGCGGGGCUGUAAGUUGUGGCCCGGACUUCCCCAGAAGAAUGGCAUGGCAUUCUGAGGCUUGAUGCAGGGCAGCAGGGCAAUCUUGGAAGCUCCAUAUUGAAGAUGGUGGAGGCACAGUUUGAAAGGAGUCUGGGUUGGAGGAGAGCUACAGGCAGAUCAGGAACACCCAUCUUGGAUUUGACCUGAGUGAAAAAUAAACUGCAAUCAUUAUGUUAAAACACUUACAUAUUUGGGGGGAUUUUUUGUUUAUCUUGUGAAAAUGCUCAUUAACCUCUAUUGUCAUAAUAAAAAUCCUUAAAGUUGGUGCUAAAAAUAAAUGCA